rnacentral:rRNA from 1 species
AUUGAACGCUGGCGGCGUGCUUAACACAUGCAAGUCGAUCGGUAACAGGUGUAGCAAUACAUGCUGACGAGAGGCGGACGGGUGAGGAACGCUUGGGAAUCUGCCUAUCAGCGGGGGACAACCCGGGGAAACUCGGGCUAAUACCGCAUACACUCUACGGAGGAAAGCCGGGGACCGCAAGGCCUGGCACUGAUAGAUGAGCCCAAGUCGGAUUAGCUAGUUGGCGGGGUAACGGCCCACAAAGGCGACGAGCCGUAGCUGGUCUGAGAGGACGAUGCGCCACACCGGAACUGGGGCACGGUCCGGACUGCUACGGGAGGCAGCGGUGGGGAAUAUUGGACCAUGGGGAAACCCGGAUCCAGCGGCGCCGCGUGGGUGAAGAAGGCCUGCGGGUUGUAAAGCCCUUUCGGUAGGGAAGAAAUCUCUUGCUCUAACAAAGCAGGAGUUUGACUUAACCUACAUAAGAAGCACCGGCUAACUCUGUGCCAGCCGCCGCCGUAACAC